rnacentral:rRNA from 1 species
GAUGAACGCUGUCGGCGUGCCUAAUACAUGCAAGUCGAACGAGUUCUGAUUAUUGAAAGGUGCUUGCAUCUUGAUUUUAAUUUUGAACGAGUGGCGGACGGGUGAGUAACACGUGGGUAACCUGCCCUUAAGUGGGGGAUAACAUUUGGAAACAGAUGCUAAUACCGCAUAAAUCCAAGAACCGCAUGGUUCUUGGCUGAAAGAUGGCGUAAGCUAUCGCUUUUGGAUGGACCCGCGGCGUAUUAGCUAGUUGGUGAGGUAACGGCUCACCAAGGCAAUGAUACGUAGCCGAACUGAGAGGUUGAUCGGCCACAUUGGGACUGAGACACGGCCCAAACUCCUACGGGAGGCAGCAGUAGGGAAUCUUCCACAAUGGACGCAAGUCUGAUGGAGCAACGCCGCGUGAGUGAAGAAGGCUUUCGGGUCGUAAAACUCUGUUGUUGGAGAAGAAUGGUCGACAGAGUAACUGUUGUCGGCGUGACGGUAUCCAACCAGAAAGCCACGGCUAACUACGUGCCAGCAGCCGCGGUAAUACGUAGGUGGCAAGCGUUAUCCGGAUUUAUUGGGCGUAAAGCGAGCGCAGGCGGUUUUUUAAGUCUGAUGUGAAAGCCCUCGGCUUAACCGAGGAAGUGCAUCGGAAACUGGGAAACUUGAGUGCAGAAGAGGGCAGUGGAACUCCAUGUGUAGCGGUGAAAUGCGUAGAUAUAUGGAAGAACACCAGUGGCGAAGGCGGCUGUCUGGUCUGUAACUGACGCUGAGGCUCGAAAGCAUGGGUAGCGGACAGGAUUAGAUACCCUGGUAGUCCAUGCCGUAAACGAUGAAUGCUAGGUGUUGGAGGGUUUCCGCCCUUCAGUGCCGCAGCUAACGCAUUAAGCAUUCCGCCUGGGGAGUACGACCGCAAGGUUGAAACUCAAAGGAAUUGACGGGGUCCCGCACAAGCGGUGGAGCAUGUGGUUUAAUUCGAAGCAACGCGAAGAACCUUACCAGGUCUUGACAUCUUUUGAUCACCUGAGAGAUCAGGUUUCCCCUUCGGGGGCAAAAUGACAGGUGGUGCAUGGUUGUCGUCAGCUCGUGUCGUGAGAUGUUGGGUUAAGUCCCGCAACGAGCGCAACCCUUAUGACUAGUUGCCAGCAUUUAGUUGGGCACUCUAGUAAGACUGCCGGUGACAAACCGGAGGAAGGUGGGGAUGACGUCAAAUCAUCAUGCCCCUUAUGACCUGGGCUACACACGUGCUACAAUGGAUGGUACAACGAGUUGCGAGACCGCGAGGUCAAGCUAAUCUCUUAAAGCCAUUCUCAGUUCGGACUGUAGGCUGCAACUCGCCUACACGAAGUCGGAAUCGCUAGUAAUCGUAGAUCAGCAUGCUACGGUGAAUACGUUCCCGGGUCU